rnacentral:rRNA from 1 species
GACGAACGCUGGCGGCGCGCCUAACACAUGCAAGUCGAACGAGCGAGAGAGAGCUUGCUUUCUCGAGCGAGUGGCGAACGGGUGAGUAACGCGUGAGGAACCUGCCUCAAAGAGGGGGACAACAGUUGGAAACGACUGCUAAUACCGCAUAAGCCCACGGCUCGGCAUCGAGCAGAGGGAAAAGGAGCAAUCCGCUUUGAGAUGGCCUCGCGUCCGAUUAGCUAGUUGGUGAGGUAAUGGCCCACCAAGGCGACGAUCGGUAGCCGGACUGAGAGGUUGAACGGCCACAUUGGGACUGAGACACGGCCCAGACUCCUACGGGAGGCAGCAGUGGGGAAUAUUGCACAAUGGGGGAAACCCUGAUGCAGCGACGCCGCGUGGAGGAAGAAGGUCUUCGGAUUGUAAACUCCUGUUGUUGAGGAAGAUAAUGACGGUACUCAACAAGAAAGUGACGGCUAACUACGUGCCAGCAGCCGCGGUAAAACGUAGGUCACAAGCGUUGUCCGGAAUUACUGGGUGUAAAGGGAGCGCAGGCGGGAAGACAAGUUGGAAGUGAAAUCCAUGGGCUCAACCCAUGAACUGCUUUCAAAACUGUUUUUCUUGAGUAGUGCAGAGGUAGGCGGAAUUCCCGGUGUAGCGGUGGAAUGCGUAGAUAUCGGGAGGAACACCAGUGGCGAAGGCGGCCUACUGGGCACCAACUGACGCUGGGGCUCGAAAGUGUGGGUAGCAAACAGGAUUAGAUACCCUGGUAGUCCACACUGUAAACGAUGAUUACUAGGUGUUGGAGGAUUGACCCCUUCAGUGCCGCAGUUAACACAAUAAGUAAUCCACCUGGGGAGUACGACCGCAAGGUUGAAACUCAAAGGAAUUGACGGGGGCCCGCACAAGCAGUGGAGUAUGUGGUUUAAUUCGACGCAACGCGAAGAACCUUACCAAGUCUUGACAUCCCUUGACGAUGCUGGAAACAGUAUUUCUCUUCGGAGCAAGGAGACAGGUGGUGCAUGGUUGUCGUCAGCUCGUGUCGUGAGAUGUUGGGUUAAGUCCCGCAACGAGCGCAACCCUUAUGGUCAGUUACUACGCAAGAGGACUCUGGCCAGACUGCCGUUGACAAAACGGAGGAAGGUGGGGAUGACGUCAAAUCAUCAUGCCCUUUAUGACUUGGGCUACACACGUACUACAAUGGCGUUAAACAAAGAGAAGCAAGACCGCGAGGUGGAGCAAAACUCAGAAACAACGUCCCAGUUCGGACUGCAGGCUGCAACUCGCCUGCACGAAGUCGGAAUUGCUAGUAAUCGCAGAUCAGCAUGCUGCGGUGAAUACGUUCCCGGGCCU